UUCAAUUCCCCUCUUCCACCGAUCAAAAUUCCUAAGGCCAUGCCCUCCUCCCUUUUUUUCCCAACUCCAAAAUCAACCUUCACUUCCACCAAUUCUCAUUAGACAUUUAGUUCAAGAAACAAUUAAAAUGGCGGAUUCACAGAUUUUUAAUUGAAGAAGCUAAGUUUAUCACAUUUUGGGUCUUCAUUUCUUUGGUUUCCAGGUUCUUCUUCAUUAUUCCUUUCUCCUUUGAUUUGUUUUAAUUAUAAUAAUUGCAUAUUUUUUCCAUUUAUGUAUUUUUAUUCAACUUUUUAAUUUCUGGGUUUUUUUUUUUUUUUGCGUUUAUUGCUUUCUAUAAUUGUUCUUCCUGUUUUACUUUGUGAAUUUGAGUUUUUUGGGUUAUGCUUAGUUUGACUUGAAGGUAGAGGUGCUCAUGGGCCGGGCGGGCCGUCGGGGUUUGGGUAAAAAUAUAGGCCCGAAAUAUGGGCUUGGGCAAAAAAUGAGGUCCGUUUAGAAAAUGGGUCGGGCCUCGGGCACCACUUUUUUGGCCCGGGCCGGCCCCGGCCCCGGCCCGGCCCGAUAUAAUAAAUAUAUUUAUUUUUUAAAUUUUUUAAAUUUUAAAAUAUUUUUAAAAUAUUUUUUUAUUAUUAUUUAAUUUUAAAAUAUUUUUAAAAUACUUUUUUUAAUUUUUAAAAUAAAUAUUUGGUAUUUAUUAAAAAAAUAGGCCGGGCUGGGCCCGGGCUUAUAAUUUUUCCCGAGCCAGGCUUGAACAAAUUUUUAGACCCAUAUUUCAGGCCGGGCCAGGCCCGGACUAAAAUUUUUUAAAGGGUCCUGCCCGGCCCGGCCCAUGAGCACCUCUACUGAAGGGUAUGUUUGGAGGCAGUUUGCUUGAUGAAGUUUGCUUGAUGAUAAAGUUGGAUUAUUUAUUUAUUUAUUUAUUGUGAGACAAAUUGUUUUAUUCUUUACCCUUUUAUGGUCAAAGAGAAUCAUUUGAGAACUUGGUUUUUGCAUCUUUUUUUUACUUCAAUCUUUGGGUGUUUUUUUUGGAUGUUGAUGUGUGAAUUGUGGUGCAAAUUCGAGGAAAGUUGAAUUUUCUUUUCGGUUCUUUAAUUUUCCUUUGGUGUUCAUUUGAUUGGAUUUGUGUGGACUUUUCUGCAAAUAAUUUAGAAGGACCGGGUUUUAAUAGAGGAAUUUGUAAAAGUUAUAGUUUUGGUUGAAAAUGGCAGUGAUGGUGUCAAUUGCAACGACAUCUCUUCGUGGUCAUAGUCCUUUGCAUGGUAGAGUUUCUGUUAGGGUCAUAGGAUUAAAAUUGUGUUAUUCAAUUAUUAUUGGAUGAGAAUUGAUUUAUGUUUUAUAGAGCAUGUAAUUUGC
rnacentral:lncRNA from 1 species